GAUGCUAGCAGUGCACCCUACUUUCUCCAGUUAUGAUGAUCAAAAAGGUCUCUAGACAUUGCCAGAUGCUCCUUGAGGGGAUAAAAUAACCCUAGUUGAGAACUACAGGGAUAGUAGAACAGUCUUUCAUCGUCAAUAAUGUGUUCAUCUCUUGAUUUUGAAGAAACUGCUUUCCUUGGUUUUCUUCCUUUAUAAUUUAUUGCUGCUUUUCUGGUUCCUGUGUCCCUGGCUACUUAAUGUGCAUACCUCUCUCCUGAACGCCACACUCUUUUAUCCAGAUAAUUAUUAGACUUCUUACUCAGAUCUCUAAUAGACAUCUCAACCUUAAUAUGUCCAAUGAACUUCUGCUUUCUGCCUUCCCCCACCUUUUGCAGCUGUUCUCAUUUUAUUGGAUGGCAAUUCUUGUUGUUCAGGCCCCAAAACUUUACAGUAUUCUCCAACUUACUUAUCUCCAAGCCCACAGCAGUCCAUUGGGAAGUGCUGCUGGCUCUACCUUUACAGUUUAUUUAGAAUCUGACCUCUAUGCUGUUUUUACCAUCUUUUCUUAAUUAGUUCACUACAGAAGCCUCCUAACUAGCCUCCCAGUUUUUGCCCUUGUGUCCUUAAUCUUUUUAUAACAGCAAUCUGAGUGAUCCUUUAAAGAUAUUAAUUCAUGUUAUUCCUCUCUUCAGAGCUCUGCAAUGACUUCUUCAUUUC
rnacentral:lncRNA from 1 species